AACUCACUGGUCAAACCCUUGGACACCAGAAUAGUUGCAUGCAGUUUCCCAGGGAGCCAGAUAGCUCUAAAGCUUCCCACUUAAUUGAACCUAAAUGCACCCGUUUGCUGCAAUGUGGUGUUUUGGUAAUUUUACUAUU